ACAAUACCAGUCACCGAAACGUGGUAAGGAUAUUGAUCUCUGCCAUUUAUGUGAUAUAAGUUCUUAACUACCAUAACAGCAGUAACAAAGUCUGAUUCUGCCAAUCAUCUCUUCUGUGCAUUUCUUCUGACAAUCAUUGUUUCAGCAAUUGAAUCUAAUUUGUUAUUCAAUUACACCUCUAUGAUUAUAUCUGAAUGUACUAAAACGCAGAGCAAUGUUUUGCUUCCUGUAACUUAAAAGCUGGGAAGUGAAACUUAUCAACUCCAAAAAUAAAUUGAAUGUGAUCACCUACUUUGAUGAAGUUGAAAUUAAUAGGUGUUAGGUAACUUGGUUUCUGUUGAUUAGAUAAUUAAUAUCAAGUUAACGUCAAAAUUCAAAAUUUUAAAGUUGGGAACCAGCGUUUAUCUUUGGAUCUCUCCAUUGAUUGAUUUUCAACUAACCUCAUAUUCUUACAGUGCCUUUUGUCUUAUAAAUGAUGCAGAAUUGUGGUUAAGUUUCUGGUCUG
rnacentral:misc_RNA from 1 species